CCGCCAACGGCAAAGGAAAACAUGGGGGCGUACCCACCUAACAGAAGGAUGUUUCCCAGGAUGCGAAUCCGCCGGCGUCGUUUUGAUCAAAUCUAACUUUAUUCCAUCUAGUUGGCGUGGGGUUUGCCGUACACGUAUACAGCUAGCAAUUCGGUUAUUCGAACCCCAUUCGUCACUUGGUACAGCUGUAAGACACAUCAGAAUUUGAUUCAAAAAUCUACAAUAUUCUAUAUAAAAAAGGAAAAUGGCUUCGAUCAAUCCAUUUUUUGAAUUUGUGGCUACAUACCGUAGAAAACAUCGAGCCCUAAAACAACAACGCGUAAUCGUAUCAAAAGCAGCGGUUUCGUGGAAGGCUUUAUCAAAAUCUCAAAAAAAUCGCUACCGCAAAAAGGCGAGCGAUGAACGCCAUCGGCGUCGUAGAAAUGCUGAUAAGAAAGCCAGGAAAAACCGAUAAUGGCAGUGAUGCCAACGAUGCCGUGCUCUACGCUACCGUUGGCCCCAAAAGAGUAGAGAUUUGAAGCGCAAUUCUGCCUGCUUUUCAAAAUUCACAGCUUUGCAUUCGUUAUACCAAAUUAGCAUUUUAUGCACUGCUUUUGUUUUUAUUGGUUUGGUAAUUAUCAUCCUCUGUCUUUUAAGUGAACAAAAUAAUCAGUUUUUUGUCAGAACAUUCCAAAUAAAGGUUCAAAUAUAGAA